GAUGGAGCGGGUGUCUCGAGAUGCGUGAACCGACUUUAAUUUUUUCACUUAAAAUGGAUAUACAGUUCAUCUAAAAUGGCAAAUACAGAGGACUACGGAUCCACCAAAAUCAUAUUGUAUGGACAGUUGUGUGGUCCUCCAAAAUAUCAGCUCCCCAGCCGUUCGUACUUCAUCAUCCUCGUCCUGUUGGGGGAGAUGGACAUGGAGCGGAUCCGGGCCGAACAAUUCCACUGUGAGUUUGGUUCAUUAGAGGAGUAAGCCGCCGCGGAGGGACGGAAUCCAUGGAGUUAGCGCCGUCGGGAACCUGAGCUGCAGGUUCAGGGUGGAACAUUUCGGUGAGGUCCGUCAGGGCUAGGAUGACCAGCAGCGGCUCCGGUGCGCCCCGCCGCCGUCUUUGUCUCGGCCGUACGUGCCUGUGCGCGGUGGCGCGGUGGUCCGGGGCCAGCGCUAGUGACCACCGUGGGCGAUGCAGCGACGAGGGAGCUCACCAUCAUCAACCCGCUCACGGGUUCGUCAUGCGCACUCCCGCCGCCGCCAUCAAGCGCGGCGAGCGCGCUGCAGACUGCCGCCAUGUACGACGCCUCCUCCGGCCCCGGCGCCCACCCGCUCCCUUCGGCGAUGCCCCCCUCCGGACGCCGCCGCCCUCCUCCCCGGGAGCGACCAGACACCAGAGGGCGGGCAGGACGAGGAAGCUGAGGACUGGGAGCAGCGCGCCGCCGCCCACGCGGACUAAGUCCUCGAUGCCGAAGGGCCCGCCCGAGACGUCGUAGAAGAUGAGUGCGAUGAGGGGGAGCACCGUUACCCGUGGCCGCGAUCGCACCGGCGGAUCCACGAAGGAGCCGGCCCUCCUCGCCACGGCUCGGGCACCCGUGGUGUGGCCGGCAACCACUGCUCCCAGCCUGCAGGUGGCCCCGCGCGGCGGCUCCUUGCUCGUGGGCUCGUGGCCGGCAAGGCAGCGCGCGGCCUGGCGGGCGAGCCCAUGCUCCCUGCGGUCCCGCCCGGGGCUGGCCGCGGGCCGCCGCUCCCCGCCUCCGUGACCGCGGGAUGCCCGGCGCUCGGAGCUGCCCUCCAGAGCAGACCAUCUCGUCGUCAUGGUAGCAGUGCUUGACUGCUUGUUGUGAAUUUUGAGUUCAUGUCCGUUUGGAAACCCCUAGAUUUCAAGAAUACAUGGGAGGUUCAAACAUAGAAAUGUGAAGUCACAUUAAAUUUUGCAGGUGCAUGUCAGUGUAAUUCUAAAAGCAACUGCUAAGCAAAUAAAGCACUAAUUAGAAUAGGAUAGAGCUGCUUAGAACCACAACUGGCUAGUGUCUUGUAUCUUUGUUGUCGAAAUAUGAAAGCCAUCAUGUUUUGGAACCAUUUUUAUCACUAUGAAAGGUACAUUGUAUGUUUUCUCUGCUUCCAAGUCAAUCAAACAAUUAGAUUUUUACUGUA